UGCAAGUCGAGCGGUAGAGAGGUGCUUGCACCUCUUGAGAGCGGCGGACGGGUGAGUAAUGCCUAGGAAUCUGCCUGGUAGUGGGGGAUAACGCUCGGAAACGGACGCUAAUACCGCAUACGUCCUACGGGAGAAAGCAGGGGACCUUCGGGCCUUGCGCUAUCAGAUGAGCCUAGGUCGGAUUAGCUAGUUGGUGAGGUAAUGGCUCACCAAGGCGACGAUCCGUAACUGGUCUGAGAGGAUGAUCAGUCACACUGGAACUGAGACACGGUCCAGACUCCUACGGGAGGCAGCAGUGGGGAAUAUUGGACAAUGGGCGAAAGCCUGAUCCAGCCAUGCCGCGUGUGUGAAGAAGGUCUUCGGAUUGUAAAGCACUUUAAGUUGGGAGGAAGGGUUGUAGAUUAAUACUCUGCAAUUUUGACGUUACCGACAGAAUAAGCACCGGCUAACUCUGUGCCAGCAGCCGCGGUAAUACAGAGGGUGCAAGCGUUAAUCGGAAUUACUGGGCGUAAAGCGCGCGUAGGUGGUUUGUUAAGUUGGAUGUGAAAGCCCCGGGCUCAACCUGGGAACUGCAUUCAAAACUGACAAGCUAGAGUAUGGUAGAGGG
rnacentral:rRNA from 1 species